rnacentral:rRNA from 1 species
UGGGGAAUCUUGGACAAUGGGGGAAACCCUGAUCCAGCCAUGCCGCGUGAGUGAUGAAGGCCCUAGGGUUGUAAAACUCUUUCGGCGGGGACGAUAAUGACGGUACCCGCAGAAGAAGCUCCGGCUAACUUCGUGCCAGCAGCCGCGGUAAUACGAAGGGGGCUAGCGUUGUUCGGAAUUACUGGGCGUAAAGCGCGCGCAGGCGGUUCUUCAAGUCAGAGGUGAAAGCCCAGGGCUCAACCCUGGAAUGGCCUUUGAGACUAGAGAACUAGGGUACGGGAGAGGUGAGUGGAAUUCCGAGUGUAGAGGUGAAAUUCGUAGAUAUUCGGAAGAACACCAGUGGCGAAGGCGGCUCACUGGCCCGUUACCGACGCUCAGGCGCGACAGCGUGGGGAGCAAACAGG